rnacentral:rRNA from 1 species
UACGGAGGUCCCAAGCGUUGUUCGGAAUUACUGGGCGUAAAGGGAGCGCAGGCGGACAGGCCAGUCUAAAGUGGAAUCCCGGGGCUCAACCUCGGAACUGCUUCGGAUACUACCUGUCUUGAGUUCGUGAGAGGAAAGCGGAAUUCAGGGUGUAGCGGUGAAAUGCUUAGAUAUCCUGAGGAACACCAAUGGCGAAGGCAGCUUUCUGGCGCGAUACUGACGCUGAGGCUCGAAAGCGUGGGGAGCGAACGGG